AGGCAAGUGCCUCACAUUCACUGUGUGGAUUCUGAGGAGAAAAGUAGCUAUAAGACUGUUGCAAAGAUCAAGUGACUGCUUACCGUAGUGCCUGGCAAGACACAUGUGUGAUAUAGAUAACGGCUGGUUAUUACUCAUCAGCAAAAUGGAGGAGGAAGGUGCUAUUUGUGAAGUAGGAAGUGGGCCGUCACCAGACACAUGGACCAUCAGUUCCUUGAUCUUGAAUUUCUAGCCCCAUAACUACAGGUGCCUAGCAUAACUGUGAUCUGAGAGGCUUCACCCAGCAGCUGAUGGAAACAUGCGAAGACCCACAGCCAAACUUCAGGCGGGGCUUGGGAAAUCCUGUGGAAGAGGGAGAGAAAGAUUUGAAGAAGCCAUAGAAGUCACAGACACCACAAGAAAACCUACAGAAUCAACUAACCUGGGCCCAUAGGGGCUCACUGAGACUGAAUCACCAGGCAGAGAACCUUCAUAGAAGGGAUUUGGGCACUCUACACACAUGUAACAGAUGUGGGACCCCUAACAGCAGAUGCAGGUGUUGUCUCGGACUCCGUUGUGGAUCCGUCUGUGGAUCCCUUUUCCCUAGCUGGGCUUCCUUGCCUAGCUUCAAUAGGAGAUGAACCUAGUCAUACUGCAGCUUGAUACGCCAAGGUCAGUUGAAACCCACAGGAGGCCUCUUCUUCUCUUUGGAAAAAGGGAGGGAGGGGAAGGUAAGAAGGGGGGUCUGGGAGGAGAGGAAGGAAGCUGUGAUCUGGAUAUAAAGUAAAUAAAUUAAUCAAUUAAAAUGUGAUAAAUUUGAGAACAGAGGUAAAACAACAAAAAAGAAACAUGUUUUAGAUUACUACGUUUACCUUAUUAUAUUAAUUAUCUUUUAUAUUACUUAUAAUACAUCUACUAUAUUAAGAAAUUACUGGUGUAUAAUUAAUAGUAAUAAAUAUAUUAUUUUCUCUA
ensembl:lincRNA Gm36307 predicted gene, 36307